AGUGGGGAAUAUUGGACAAUGGGGGCAACCCUGAUCCAGCCAUGCCGCGUGAGUGAUGAAGGCCUUCGGGUUGUAAAGCUCUUUUGGCGGGGACGAUGAUGACGGUACCCGCAGAAUAAGCCCCGGCUAACUUCGUGCCAGCAGCCGCGGUAAGACGAAGGGGGCUAGCGUUGUUCGGAAUUACUGGGCGUAAAGCGAGUGUAGGUGGUUGUCAUAGUCAGGUGUGAAAGCCUUGAGCUCAACUCAAGAAAUGCACUUGAUACUGGGCGACUAGAGGACCGGAGAGGAUAGUGGAAUUCCCAGUGUAGUGGUGAAAUACGUAGAGAUUGGGAAGAACACCAGUGGCGAAGGCGGCUAUCUGGACGGUUUCUGACACUAAGACUCGAAAGCGUGGGGAGCAAA
rnacentral:rRNA from 2 species